rnacentral:rRNA from 1 species
UCAGGAGGUUUGCUUAGAAGCAGCAAUCCUUUAAAGAGUGCGUAAUAGCUCACUGAUCGAGUAAACCUGCGCCGAAAAUGAACGGGACUAAGUAAUUUGCCGAAACUGUGCGAUAUAUAAAUAUAUAUAUCGGUAGGGGAGCGUUCUGUUUUAGGUAGAAGUAUUAGCGUAAGCGGGUAUGGACGAAGCAGAAGUGAGAAUGUCGGCUUGAGUAACGAAAAUAUAGGUGAGAAUCCUAUACCCCGAAAACCCAAGGUUUCCUCCGGAAGGCUCGUCCGCGGAGGGUAAGUCAGGACCUAAGGCGAGACUGAAAAGUGUAGUCGAUGGACAACGGGUUAAUAUUCCCGUACCAUUUUUUAUUGAUAUCGAGGGACGGAGAAGGCUAAGCUAGCCGGAUAUUGGUUACCGGUUUAAACGUUCAAGAUGUUGAGAGGUGGAGAAAACACCUUGAGUUGAGGCGUGAAUACGAGAUGCUAAGGCGUCGAAGUAGUGUAUGUCAGACUUCCAAGAAAAGCUUGCACUGUCAUAAAUAAAAAAUGCCUGUACCAUAACCGACACAGGUGGGUAGGUAGAGUAUACUAAGGGGCGCGAGAUAACUCUCUCUAAGGAACUCGGCAAAAUAACUCCGUAACUUCGGAAGAAGGAGUGCCUUAUGCAAAUAAGGUUGCAAUAACAAGAUCCAAGCAACUGUUUAUCAAAAACACAGGUCUCCGCUAAGUCGUAAGACGAUGUAUGGGGGCUGACGCCUGCCCAGUGCCAGAAGGUUAAAGAAGUUGGUUAGCAUAAGCGAAGCUGAUAACUGAAGCCCUGGUGAACGGCGGCCGUAACUAUAACGGUCCUAAGGUAGCGAAAUUCCUUGUCGGGUAAGUUCCGACCCGCACGAAAGGCGUAAUGAUUUGGAUACUGUCUCGGAGAGAGGCUCGGUGAAAUAGACUUGUCUGUGAAGAUGCGGACUACCUGCACCUGGACAGAAAGACCCUAUGAAGCUUUACUGUAACUUGAAAUUGAAAUUGGACUUUAUUCGCGCAGCAUAGGUGGGAGGCGUUGAAAAUAUUCUUGCGGGAGUAUUUGAGCUAUCAGUGAGAUACCACUCUUAUAAUGUUAGAUUUCUAACUUUGAACCAUUAUCUGGUCAAAGAACAGUUUCAGGCGGGCAGUUUGACUGGGGCGGUCGCCUCCCAAAUGGUAACGGAGGCGUACAAAGGUUUCCUCUGAACGUGUAGAAAUCGUAUCUAGAGUGUAAAGGCAUAAGGAAGCUUGACUGUGAGACCUACAAGUCGAGCAGGGACGAAAGUCGGUCUUAGUGAUCUGACGGUACUGAGUGGAAAGGCCGUCACUCAACGGAUAAAAGUUACUCUAGGGAUAACAGGCUGAUCUCCCCCAAGAGUUCA